rnacentral:rRNA from 1 species
UACGUAGGGUGCGAGCGUUGUCCGGAAUUACUGGGCGUAAAGAGCUCGUAGGUGGUUUGUCGCGUUGUUCGUGAAAACCGGGGGCUUAACCCUCGGCGUGCGGGCGAUACGGGCAGACUUGAGUACUGCAGGGGAGACUGGAAUUCCUGGUGUAGCGGUGGAAUGCGCAGAUAUCAGGAGGAACACCGGUGGCGAAGGCGGGUCUCUGGGCAGUAACUGACGCUGAGGCACGAAGGCCAGGGGAGCAAACGGG